rnacentral:rRNA from 1 species
UACGUAGGGCGCAAGCGUUGUCCGGAAUUAUUGGGCGUAAAGAGCUCGUAGGCGGCCUGUUGCGUCCGCUGUGAAAUCCCGGGGCUUAACCCCGGGCGUGCAGUGGAUACGGGCAGGCUGGAGCAGGCAGGGGAGAACGGAAUUCCCGGUGUAGCGGUGAAAUGCGCAGAUAUCGGGAGGAACACCGGUGGCGAAGGCGGUUCUCUGGGCCUGUACUGACGCUGAGGAGCGAAAGCGUGGGGAGCGAACAGG